UUAACUUCUUUAUGAUUUUUACCAAGGGUUGCUUCAUUCUGUUGGUGUUUAGGAAAGAAGCUUAUAUAGGGGCGUCUGGGUGGCCCAGGGAGUUAAGCUUCUGCCCGUGGCUGGGGUCCUGAUCCCUAGGUCCUGGGACGGAGCCCCGCUCCUUGCUUCUCCCUCUCCCCUCUACUCGAGCUCUCUCUUGCUAUCUCUCUCAAAUAAAAUCUUGAAAAAAAAAAAAAAAAAAGCCAGAGCAACCAAAGCAAAAACUCUGUUUGCUUUUUCUACAUAGAAAUCUUUGAUGCCCUGACCUGUCCCAGCAUGGUAAUUGACAAGCAAGUCUUAGACUACGUUAGCGAAGUCGUUUUGCCAUUUUGGAAUCCUGAGUACGGCACCAUCAUUCUGUAUUAGGAAUGAAAUUGCUCAGAAACAUCAUUGGAUUCGAAAUGGGAUCUAGCAACAAGUCCAAGUGAUAGACGACCACAGGUUGCACUGGGUUGGUGGUGAUGGUGGAGGAGAUAGAAUUUCAUCGAGACCCAGGGCCAGGAGAAGCAUUCACGGACAGUGUCAGGUAACAAUGCCCUUCCAUGCUUGGCUUCACUCUCAAGAUUUGACAAACGAUACCCUGCCCUUUGGGACAUUCUCAUUCCAGUGAGAUCCAGACACUCAAUUUUUUAAGUGACAAACUGACAGAUUCAUUAAACCAAGGCCUGUAUGUCAGGAAGUAUGAGCCGUUGAUCUGUGUACAGAUGUCACCACUCUUUUAGAAGACAAUUCUUGGGGAUUAUAGACCUGAUAAAUCACACCAUAUUGGUGAACAUAUCCACAUACCCCAACCACACAGAAACAGAAACUCGUAUGCUGGGGAUCCUCCCAGACCUUGCCCUAUGUAUCUCUUCAUCUGGCUUUUCAUCUGUAUCCUUUUGUCAUAUCCUUUAAUAAUCUGAUAAAUGUAUUUCCCUGAGUCCUAUGAACUGCUCUAACAAAAUAAUUGAACCCAGGGAGGGGGUUGUGGUUUGGCUCCAAUUUGUAGUCAAGUUGGACACAGGUUGUGGGUAACCUGAAGACCUAUUACUUGCAAUUGGCAUCUCAAGUGGUGGGCAGUCUCAUGGGCUGUUAACCUGUGGGAUAUGAGGCUAUCUCCAAGUAAACGGUGUCAGACUUGAAUGACAUCAUAGGACACCCAGCUGGUGCCAGAGGCUUAAUUGGUGGGGAACUCUCCCUACCUCUGUAUCUGUUGUGAAUGUGGUUGUGGUGUAAGACUAAAGGAGACUUACUGGAGGAAGAAAAUGACUUUUUCCCAUUACACAUAUAUUUUUUUUUCCAAGUAGGGUACACGCCCAGCAUGGCGCCAACAUGUGGCUUGAACUCACAACCCU